CUUCGUUCUCUCCGAAAGAUCUCUUCUUUCUGAGCAAUCUCAACUGAGCAAGUGUGGCACGUGGAACGGCUGGAGCUGCUGCAGCAGCUGCCACUGGAGCAGCAACUGGAGCGGCAGCGGCGACUGGAGCAGCUUGAACUUCUUCAA
ensembl:ncRNA C47G2.15 ncRNA